GACAAAGAAGCUUUAUUUAUUUUCGAAUUUUCCCUCGGUUUAUAGCUAUUGCGAAGACUUGAUUUACUUGUGUAACUUCUGUCUGUGGGAAUUCAUGAGCCAGCAAAGCUACGAGUUACAGAGAUGAAACUAAACUAUUAACAUACACAAUGAACCAAUGAACCAUAAAUGAAUAUUUUACUGCAUCUGCAAACAAUAUGUGUAUACGCAAGCAAUUCAGCGAAGUUGUAUAUAUCUUCUAUAUGAGAAGUAAAGAAAAAAAAGGUGUAUACACUCACCUGUUGUUUGUAAACACUUUAAAAGACGGAUGAAAAGCGGUCUUGCAU